UUAUUUUUGUUAGUAAGUACUUUAUGAUCGCGUCUAAUUAUGAUCUUAUAAGAUUUUUUAAGUUAUACCUCUUACUCGCUUACUCUAAGAAUUAAUUUCGUCAUCGGUAUUCCGUUCCAUUUCAAUUAUCUUGUAGGUAUUCUAGAUUAUUAGUUAAUUAUAAACAUUAGCGCACUUUAAUUUGUUUAAUUAAGCAGACGAUUGCAUGGAUUUAAAUGUACACUGUCAUUAAAAGUCGUUUAAUUAAAUUAAUCUAUAUACUUAUUCUUUUUCCUUUUAUUUUUUGUUUUUGUAAAUUUAAAUUAAUUAUGCAAUGAUAAUAGUCAUUUAUUUAAUCUUAUUUCGGGCAUGAAAUGAAUAUAUAUAUAUUUUACUUUUUAAACAAGGGGUUUUUCAAUUGGUCUGUAUUUUUAUUUUCGAGAGAAAUAAAUAAUAGGAUGACGGACUCAUUCCAAACAAGUAUUUUUUCCAAGCAACAAAUUUUUGAAACAAAUAUUGUUGGGUAAAUGGUACCUAUAAACCUGGCCCUCUAAACAAGAGACAUCUGGCAUUGCUAUCUCAGUCUAUCUCACGGACUUUCACGGACACGGACGAAUUCGCUUGCCACUUGUCUAGAAGAGAUACUUCAGUACUCCCUGCUGAAACACGUUUAUACAAAAGUUACGUCAACAUCAUAAUAAAGAAGGAGUUCGAGUUAUUAAAUUUAUUAUUAUAUUUCUAUAAUAUGUUAUUUAAAAAACGCAAUGCGUCACCACGUACCUUGGCAAACACUCGAAAACUCAGCAUGUAGUGACAUCAUUUUAUCAGUUUAUCGAGCCAUCAGCAAGAUGACAAAAUGUACAAAUUUUACCCUAGCUAUCGCUUGGCAUGCGACUAAAACGGCCUGCGCAGCCUCAGUAAAAAUAUUAGACAUUGAUAAAAAUAAACAAAGUGAUAAUCAUCUUUUUGAAAGUCGGUCGAAAAUUAUUAAUACAAAUCACCUAUUUUAAGUUUUCAUAUCAACACGUAGACAGUUCUAAUCUAAUCCAAGGGGCGUGUCCUCGUUAUCACCUAAUCAAAUAAUUAUUUUCAUCCUAAAUUAUAAAAUAUAACAAAUAUAUUUAUUUAAAUAAUACGGGAAGAAAUAAUAUAAAUAAUUCGAGCAAUUAUAUAAACUGCUUCACAAAAUCCGGCACGAAGGACUAAAAACGGGGUUCUUCUGUAAAAAAAGUAUAAUAUUUUUUUUUUAUACAAUAUGAAAAAGUAUUGACAAAUUGCAAAUCAAUACGAAACCCGUGUUCGAGCAAUAAAAGCAUAAAAUCCAAAAUUCACAUCUCACAAGCAAAGGAAGUGAAAAAAAGCAACGAGCGCGGAAGCGACGGCCGUUGGCACCGUAACACUGCGCACAUACUGAUUAAGUUUUAGCUCCGAGUAGCUCCCAGCGCGUGAGAUGCUAAUGAUCCAUCGAGAGGAGACGGACCGGAUUAGCAUUAAUACACGCGUGACUUGAAGGAUUUACAAGACAGCGGCCGAGCGAGAGAAUUCAAAUUUAUUACAUACUUAUUGUGAAUGAAUGGUCAGUCGUAAAUUGUUAAUUAAAUGUAAUCCUAUAGUGGAAAAUUUUUA